rnacentral:rRNA from 1 species
UACGUAGGGUGCAAGCGUUGUCCGGAAUUAUUGGGCGUAAAGAGCUCGUAGGCGGUUCGUCACGUCGGCUGUGAAAACCUGAGGCUCAACCUCAGGCCUGCAGUCGAUACGGGCGGACUUGAGUACUGCAGGGGAGACUGGAAUUCCUGGUGUAGCGGUGAAAUGCGCAGAUAUCAGGAGGAACACCAGUGGCGAAGGCGGUGCUCUGGGCCGGUACUGACGCUGAGGAGCGAAAGCGUGGGGAGCAAACAGG